rnacentral:rRNA from 1 species
GACCUCGAAUCAGGUAGGACUACCCGCUGAACUUAAGC